GUCAUCUUCUCGUCCCAUCCUUUCUCUUUUCACGUUCUAGGGUUUUAACCUUCCGUUUUUGAAACUAAGAAGACCAGCGUGGUUGUCUUUGUUCGUCGGCGUGUUCUCUCUCAACAUCGCGAAACUAAGAAGACCAGCGUGGUUGUCUUUGUUCGUCGGCGUGUUCUCUCUCAACAUCGCGAUGACUGUGGCGGUGGCUACUCCAACAAGGAUUUCGCUGGAUCUGUACCCCGGAGAGGAAGAUCUGCCCUAUGAGGAGGAGAUACUCCGCAACCCCUUCGGUCUCAAGCUGUGGUGGCGCUACCUCAUCGCUCGCGCCUCCUCGCCCUUCCGGCGCCGUGCCGUCAUCUACGAACGCGCGCUCAAGGCCUUACCUGGAAGCUACAAACUGUGGCAUGCGUACCUCCGCGAGCGCCUCGAAGCCGUCCGCGGCCGCCCCAUCAACGACCCGGCCUUCGAUUCUCUCAACAACACCUUUGAGCGCGCCCUCGUGACGAUGCACAAGAUGCCUCGCAUCUGGCUCAUGUACCUCACCUCCCUCUCCGAGCAGCGACUCCUCACCCGCGCUCGUCGGACCUUCGAUCGCGCCCUCCGCUCCCUCCCUGUAACCCAGCACGAUCGCAUCUGGGAGCCCUACCUCACCCUUGUCUCCCUCCCCGGUGUUCCCGUGGAGACCUCCCUACGCGUCUUCCGCCGGUACCUCUUGUUCGAUCCUUCCCACAUUGAAGAUUUCAUCAAUUUUCUUAUUGCCUCGAAGCGCUGGCAGGAAGCCGCAGAGCGGCUUGCUGGUGUACUUAAUGACAACAGCUUCCAUUCCAUCAAGGGUAAGACACGGCAUCAGCUCUGGCUCGAGCUUUGCGACAUCCUCACUCACCAUGCCACUGAGGUGUCUGGCCUUAAUGUCGACGCCAUAAUACGCGGUGGCAUCCGUCGGUACACGGAUGAGGUUGGGCGACUAUGGACGUCCCUUGCGGAUUACUAUGUCCGCAGGGGAUUAUAUGAGAAGGCGAGGGACAUCUUUGAGGAGGGCAUUCAGACUGUGACAACAGUUAGGGAUUUCAGUGUGGUCUUUGAAAGUUAUGCACAGUUUGAACAGAGCGCCCUUGAAGCAAAGAUGGAGACAGCUGAGGAGGAGGAGGAGGAUGGGGAAGGGGAGGAAGAUGAAAGGAAGGAUGAUUUAUCAAAGCUCAGCAAGAAGUUCCUCCAUGGCUUUUGGUUAAAUGAUGACAAUGAUACAGAUUUAAGGAUGGAGAGGUUUGAGAAUCUUCUCUCUCGUCGGCCAGAGCUCCUUAACAGUGUGCUCUUACGACAAAAUCCUCACAAUGUGGAACAGUGGCAUAGGCGAGUUAAAAUUUUUGAGAAUGAUCCAGCAAAACAGGUUUUCACUUACAUAGAGGCAGUGAGAACAAUUGAUCCGAUGAAGGCAGUGGGGAAGCCUCACACACUUUGGGUUGCCUUUGCCCGAUUAUAUGAGAGCCACAAUGAUCUCAAGAACGCCAGGGAUAUUUUUGAGAAGGCUGUCAAUGUCAAUUACAAGGCGGUGGACCAUCUAGCAACUGUCUGGUGUGAAUAUGCUGAAAUGGAGCUGAGACACAAGGAGUUCAGAACAGCCAUUGAGCUAAUGCGGAAGGCCACUGCAGAGCCCUCAGUUGAAGUCAAGCGUAGAGUUGCUGCCGAUGGUAAUGAGCCUGUACAGAUGAAGCUUCACAAAUCCUUGAGGUUGUGGAGCUUUUAUGUGGAUUUGGAGGAGAGCCUUGGGACGUUGGAGUCGACACGAGUAGUUUAUGAGCGUAUACUUGAUCUGCGAAUAGCAACUCCACAAAUUAUCUUAAAUUAUGCAUUCUUUCUUGAGGAGAACAAAUACUUUGAAGAUGCAUUCAAGGUUUAUGAGAGGGGUGUGAAGAUAUUUAAAUACCCACAUGUUAAAGAUAUAUGGGUCACCUACCUCUCCAAGUUUGUUAAGAGAUAUGGAAAGACAAAGUUGGAGCGUGUAAGAGAGUUGUUUGAACAUGCUAUUGAGCAGGCACCUGAAAAUGAGGUGAAGCCAAUAUUCCUUCAAUAUGCAAAACUGGAGGAAGAAUAUGGCCUUGCGAAGCGUGCAAUGAAGGUCUAUGAUCAAGCGGUGAAGACUGUCCCUGACAGUGAGAAAUUGAGCAUGUAUGAGAUUUAUAUAGCUAGAGCAGCUUCAAUAUUUGGUGUUCCAAAAACUAGGGAGAUAUACGAGCAAGCCAUUGAAUCUGGCCUGCGUGAUAAUGAUGCCAAGAAAAUGUGCUUGAAGUAUGCUGAAUUGGAAAAGAACCUUGGAGAAAUAGAUCGUGCACGGGCCAUCUAUGUUUUUGCAUCACAGUUUGCAGAUCCACGUUCUGAUCCAGAUUUCUGGAAAAAAUGGAAAGAUUUUGAGAUUCAGCACGGUAACGAGGACACUUUCAGGGAAAUGCUUCGUAUAGGCCGUAGUGUUUCUGCGAGCUACAGCCAGACACAUGUCAUCCUGCCUGAGUACUUGAUGCAAAAAGAUCAAAAAAUGAACUUGGAGGAAGCUGUGGACACACUGAAGCGUGCAGGGGUCCCAGAGGAUGAAAUGGCUGCUCUAGAAAGGCAGUUGGCUCCUGCAACCAACAAUUUACCUUCUAAGGAUGGUGUCCGGACAGUGAGCUUUGUCAGUGCUGGAUCUGAAUCACAGUCAGAUGGUGUUAGGCAAGUGACUGCAAACAGCGAAGAUAUUGAGUUGCCUGAGGAGAGUGAUUCAGAUGAUGAGAAAAUUGAAAUUUCUCAGAAGGAUGUUCCUGCUUCUGUGUUUGGAGAUUUGGCAAACAAGCGUGCCUUGGAUGCUGACCACAAAGCUGAUGCUAAAGAUAACACAAACAGUACCCAUCUUGGAGCACUUGAGCGAAUCAAGAGGCAACGUCAACAAUGAUGCCACAUCACGAAUGUUACUGGCUUCAGAUUGUAUUUCCUGAAAUUCCUGAAUCUCAUUGAUGAGUCCUGCUCCUUGUGGUGAUCAUAUUGUAUGCCUGAUUCUCUUAGUCGAACAAUGGGAGAGGAGCUUUCACCUUCAGCAUAAAUUUGCAAGUAUAUGGUGAGGACUCUCUGCUGUUCGCUCGAUCUGCUUUUCUUCCUUGGCUUGAUCCUGGAAUCCCUUCCAAGAGCUUACGCAUCCAUUGCAUAAUAUCAGGGAAAUCUGCCCGUCGGCAAGUUGUAAACGUUAUUUGGUUUCGAUAUUUUUUAAAAUAAUUUUAAGUGACAGUCGAAUAACAUCCAGCAACUGGCACUGAUGGUUUUUUUGGUAGUUUUACUACUGUAUUUGGUAA